GCUUUCGUAGUGUAAUGGUCAGCACGCUGGGCUCCUAUUCUAGAGAUCCGUGGUUCGAUUCCCAGCGAAGGCG